rnacentral:lncRNA from 1 species
GGAAAGGAUUUUGUCAGAAGGAAGUACUCUUUGCUGUGUCUGCUGUCAGAAGGCCCACUUGUGAAUGUGUGGAGAUAACUGAGCCAAGUAUAUGUUACAGACCAGGAAGCAGAUUCUCACUUUACAUGUAGCUGCCACUUUGAAAAGUGGCAAUUGCACUGUCAUUAUUUCAUUUUAUUUAUUUAUUUUUUAAUUAAUUUUUAUUGGUGUUCAAUUUACCAACAUACAGAAAAACACCCAGUGCUCAUCCCGUCAAGUGUCCACCUCAGUGUCAUUAUUUCAUUUUAGAAUUCUUCUAAAAUAUAUUUUAAAAAUCAAUAAUUACUAUUUUUUUUCCCCUCAUUCACACUGGAAUAUUGGCCAGAUACCAAAACUCUUCAUGCCAUAGGAUGCAUUGUGUUUUACUUUGGGAACUUUCAGGGCAAUAGACCACUAAAUAAAACUGGCUUAGUUAAGGAACACACUUAAUUAACAUCACAUGUCAAUAAGUCUGGAAGCAGGAGUUCCACCAUUGUGACUCACUGUUAGCCUGCAGACAGACUUCUAGGCUCUUGCCUUCCUCUUUGGUUACGUGGGGGCCCUCAUUGUUAGAUCAUCACAUUUCAUAGGACUGCAGCAGAGGAAAGCAGAGUGGUGAACCUGCCCCUGUGUUUCUGUCUUACUAGAAAAGAAAACAUUUCCUUGAAGAUCUUCCAUUUAGGUCACACUAUUGGAACCCGUCACAACCACUCUUACCUGCAAGGGAGGCUGGGAGAGUGACCAAAUCAGGAAAUAACCUAAAUAAUUUUUGAGCAAGAUUGAAACAAAUAUUACAAUAGUCACAAGGCUGAUUCUAAGGAGUGGUUGGUCAUUUCCUUCACUUCUGAAAGCCUUCAGAGAAUGAUUUGCUUUACUUCCUCUACUAGGACAGAUGUACAAGUAGUUCCUGAAGAGGCUCUCUCCUCUCUGCAGCAAGCUGGUGUGCACUCCCUCUGGGCCUGGCUGGUUCUGACUUGUACCCUGUGUCUGCACACCCAUGUGGCUAACAUCCCUCUGACGUCUUGGAAGCUGUUCUUGUGUAUGGUGGUGGAAGGUAAACUGAGACCCAGUGUCCUCUGGAUAGCCCUGAUCUGGAUUGGUGCUCAGUUUUACUUUCCAAGAGAUUGUAGGGCAGUUCCAAGUAUAUUGUGGGCAGGGGUAGAGAAACUAGUUUUCUGUUGUUGGCUGCAGGGCCAACUAUAGAAUUUGCAAAGUGAAAAUGUCUGGUAUUCUCUGGGGGCAGGGAAAUUAGUCUCCCCUUCCCAUGCCUGC